rnacentral:rRNA from 1 species
AUAGUACCUUACUACUUGGAUAACCGUGGUAAUUCUAGAGCUAAUACAUGCUAAAAAUCCCGACUUCGGAAGGGAUGUAUUUAUUAGAUUAAMAACCAAUGCCCUCCGGGGCUCACUGGUGAUUCAUGAUAACUUCUCGAAUCGCAUGGCCUUGCGCCGGCGAUGGUUCAUUCAAAUUUCUUCCCUAUCAACUUUCGAUGUUUGGGUAUUGGCCAAACAUGGUUGCAACGGGUAACGGAGGGUUAGGGCUCGACCCCGGAGAAGGAGCCUGAGAAACGGCUACUACAUCCAAGGAAGGCAGCAGGCGCGCAAAUUACCCAAUCCCGACUCGGGGAGGUAGUKACAAUAAAUACUGAUACAGGGCUCUUUUGGGUCUUGUAAUUGGAAUKAGUACAAUUUAAAUCCCUUAACGRGGAACAAUUGGAGGGCAAGUCUKGUGCCAACAGCCGCGGUAAUUCCAGCUCCAAUAGCGUAUAUUAAAGUUGUUGUGGUUAAAAAGCUCGUAGUUGAACCUUGGGCCUCGCUGGSCGGUCCGCCUCACCGCGUGUACUGGUCCGGCCGGGCCUUUCCCUCUGUKGAACCCCAUGCCCUUCACUGGGUGUKGCGGGGAAACAGGACUUUUACUGUKAAAAAAUUAGAGUGCUCCAGGCAGGCCUAU